rnacentral:rRNA from 1 species
GACGAAGGGGGCUAGCGUUGUUCGGAAUUACUGGGCGUAAAGCGCACGUAGGCGGUGUUCCAUGUCAGAGGUGAAAGCCUGGGGCUCAACUCCAGAAUUGCCUUUGAAACGGGGACGCUUGAGUCCGAGAGAGGGUGGCGGAAUUCCUAGUGUAGAGGUGAAAUUCGUAGAUAUUAGGAAGAACACCAGUGGCGAAGGCGGCCACCUGGCUCGGUACUGACGCUCAGGUUCGAAAGCGUGGGGAGCAAACAGG